AUUGAACGCUGGCGGCAUGCCUUACACAUGCAAGUCGAACGGUAACAGGUCUUCGGAUGCUGACGAGUGGCGAACGGGUGAGUAAUACAUCGGAACGUGCCUAGUAGUGGGGUAUAACUACUCGAAAUAGUGGCUAAUACCGCAUGAGAUCUACGGAUGAAAGCAGGGGAUCGCAAGACCUUGUGCUACUAGAGCGGCCGAUGGCAGAUUAGGUAGUUGGUGGGAUAAAAGCUUACCAAGCCGACGAUCUGUAGCUGGUCUGAGAGGACGAUCAGCCACACUGGGACUGAGACACGGCCCAGACUCCUACGGGAGGCAGCAGUGGGGAAUUUUGGACAAUGGGCGCAAGCCUGAUCCAGCAAUGCCGCGUGCAGGAUGAAGGCCUUCGGGUUGUAAACUGCUUUUGUACGGAACGAAAAGCCCUGGGUUAAUACCCUGGGGUCAUGACGGUACCGUAAGAAUAAGCACCGGCUAACUACGUG
rnacentral:rRNA from 1 species